rnacentral:tRNA from 1 species
GGAAGCGUGCCCGAAUUUAAGGAUUACUUUGAUAGAGUAAACAAUAGAGGUUAAAGCCCACUCACUUCC